rnacentral:misc_RNA from 1 species
GAAGGUGGAUCAUUUGUUUAUUGGCGAUAUAUGUACCAAGUACAAAAGUGGUAGAACAACAGUUGAUGUCAAAGUUGAUUCCAGUUCAAAUGUCUCAACUGCUGUUACUGUUGAUGAAAUAAUGCCUGGUGCCAAGGCUUCCUUGAGCUUCAAAAUUCCAGAUCAAAUGUCUGGCAAGAUUGAUGUGCAAUACCUCCAUGACCAUGCAGCUAUUAACUCUAGCAUUGGCUUGACACCUACUCCUUUGCUAGAGUUU